rnacentral:lncRNA from 1 species
UGCUGUUUCCCAGAAACCAUUGCUUGCUUCCUUCCUGGAGCAGCUCAAUUUGCUUGGUGGCUGUCACAUUUUUGUCAAUCUUCUUGAAAGGUAUGGUGUAUGUGGUUAUGCAGUUGGAUUUUUAGACCUCCAGUGAACUGCUGUGCCUCAACACCUUUUUACAUUAACGGUCCUUUUCUAAUUCUUUGUGUCAUUUCACUGUAUUCGGUUGGAGUUCUUUUUCAUUUUUUUCACCUCAUCAUCGGUUUAUUUAGCAAUCUUGUCAUUGUGAUUGCAUUGUUGGCUUUUCAUAUUCCGCUAACUUCUUUGAAAAUUCCACACUUGUGUGUAAUCUCUACUACAACAGUUUGUACUUGAGCAAUGUAUUCUACCAAUAUUUAAGCUGAACAAACAUUUCAAAGAAUUGAGAGAUCUACAAGUGUUUCAUUUAAGAAAGAGUAAGUCUACCGGUUUUCAGUGACUUUGGUUUUUAAUUCUUUCCCAUAUAAAAGGAAUAUUCAUUGGGGAUAGAAGACAAGAAUGAUACCCCUUGAAGAAAAGUAAAUACUUUUUACAAACCAAGUUAUUGGAGAGAGACCUGACAGAGAAGAAGUUCAUAAGAUCCGUUUACUGUUACUGAGUCUCGGUGAGAUGAGUCUCAGGUAGAGUAUUCUCUUUCACCUGCUUGCUUCUUGUAGUUAUACUGUUCAAUUUGUUUCUCUUUUAGUAUUUUCAUUUUAGUUUUAUGAAAAAUGAUCGCCUUUGACAUUAUGUAUGAUAUGCAGGCAGCAUAUUUCAGUGACAGACAUAAAAGCAUUGGUGGCUUUUUUUGAGACCAGUCAGGAUAUGUCAUGCAUUGAAGAUGUUUUACACAUGGUCAUUCGUGCUGUUUCCCAGAAACCAUUGCUUGCUUCCUUCCUGGAGCAGCUCAAUUUGCUUGGUGGCUGUCACAUUUUUGUCAAUCUUCUUGAAAGGUAUGGUGUAUGUGGUUAUGCAGUUGGAUUUUUAGACCUCCAGUGAACUGCUGCGCCUCAACACUUUUUUACAUUAAUGGUCCUUUUCUAAUUCUUUGUGUCAUUUCACUGUAUUCGGUUGGAGUUCUUUUUCAUUUUUUCACCUCAUCAUCGGUUUAUUUAGCAAUCUUGUCAUUGUGAUUGCAUUGUUGGCUUUUCAUAUUCCGCUAACUUCUUUGAAAAUUCCACACUUGUGUGUAAUCUCUACUACAACAGUUUGUACUUGAGCAAUGUAUUCUACCAAUAUUUAAGCUGAACAAACAUUUCAAAGAAUUGAGAGAUCUACAAGUGUUUCAUUUAAGAAAGAGUAAGUCUACCGGUUUUCAGUGACUUUGGUUUUUAAUUCUUUCCCAUAUAAAAGGAAUAUUCAUUGGGGAUAGAAGACAAGAAUGAUACCCCUUGAAGAAAAGUAAAUACUUUUUAACAGAAGAACCAUAAAAUGCACAAAUGCAAAAACCCAAUGACAGGAGGUGUGGAUGACUUUUUUGUGCAGCAGUUUUGUAUACAUUAAGUGACAUUGAUAAUGCCUUAAGUACCUCUCUGUCCCAAAUUACUGCAAAUGCUGCAAACUGAGUACACUACCAUAGAUUUUUUUACACUUAAAUCUAUAAAGACCCAAAUAUUUUGCUUACACGAGGUGCUGAGCAUUAUUUGCUAUCCAAAUUUAGGGCAUUCCUUUGCAUAGCUUUGUCACCUGUCCUUGCAACCUCCUUCUCUCUCCGAUUUUGAUGCUUUAGUGGUGUGUCUGAAUGAAAAUUGCCAAUGUUCUCUAUUUGAAGGUUGUUACCCCUCGU